rnacentral:lncRNA from 1 species
AUGACAUCAUCAUUGUAAAUAUGAAUUGGUAGUAAGUCAAGGGCUAUCUGUAGUUUUAUAAUCUAAAUAGUAUUUUGAUUAUUAUUUAUUAUACAAAUUGUAAAAACUGCACAGCAGGUAUAUGGCUAAAUAAUGUUUAACCAUCAAGAUUUUGAAAUAAGGCACAUAGAUAAGUGGCACAGGGAUUCAGGAAUGGAGAAAUGGCUCAAAGACUUAAGUAGACAAGCAAAAAUAAUUAUUUGCAAUAAAAGUAAAACAAAUAUUAGUUAGUUUUUUGAUUAAGAAAAAAAAUUAACUAAUAUGACAUGAAAAUUGAAUAUUACAGUAUGAAAAUAAAAUUAUACAAUAAUAUCUUAACAAGAGUUAGGUUAUAUUACUAAUCAGAAUCUAGACUGAUUUAGAAGUGGCAAGAAUUAUCCUUAAGUCCUAAACUAAGCCAAGAAAGAUAGGAAGAACUGAAGAGUUUCCCUCAAUAACACAUAUAGUUCAGGAAGUAAAAUCUGAAGAAGUUACAGAAAUACAAAUUAAUCUUAUAGGUCUAGUUCUUCUUAGUAUCAUAUUCCAGUUCUCUUAUUUUUUUAUAGCAAAUCUGGAGGUUAAACAAUUUACCAUUCAGUUUCUGGUUCCAUCUAUCAGCAAACAUUAGGGAUAUGGGUGGAAGAGAUCCUGUUCCUAUCAUCUUGAUGGACAAACUCAAAUUUCUUUUUUCUUUCUUUUACUUCAUUUCUAUGUUUUUUAUUAUCUCUCAUUUUCUCUUGGUUGAAAGACCAAUCAAAAAUCCAAUGACCACAAAGAUUGUCAAAUGGGAAACUUUUCAAACAAAAACUAAAGGUUUUUAUAUGACACAAAAUGGAUAAGUGUUGAUAGCAUUCCCACAGCAGGAUAAGGAAACAAAUUUUAAAAAAGGAAUUUCUUGUCUGUAGGUAUUUAUUGGAUUUUUGUUGUUUUUGAUAUUCUACUUUCUCUUUUUAAAUAUAUG